CCUACGGGGCGCAGCAGUGGGGAAUAUUGGGCAAUGGGCGCAAGCCUGACCCAGCAACGCCGCGUGAAGGAAGAAGGCUUUCGGGUUGUAAACUUCUUUUCUCAGGGACGAAGAAAGUGACGGUACCUGAGGAAUAAGCCACGGCUAACUACGUGCCAGCAGCCGCGGUAAUACGUAGGUGGCAAGCGUUAUCCGGAUUUACUGGGUGUAAAGGGAGCGUAGACGGUUCUGCAAGUCUGAAGUGAAAGCCCGUGGCUUAACCGCGGAACGGCUUUGGAAACUGUGGAACUGGAGUGCUGGAGAGG
rnacentral:rRNA from 1 species